rnacentral:rRNA from 1 species
GGCGAAUGAAAGAGGGAAAAGCCCAAAUUUGUAAUCUGGCUCUUUCAGAGUCCGAGUUGUAAUUUUAAGAACUGUUUUCAGUGCUGGACCAUGUACAAGUCUUCUGAAAAGAAGCAUCAUAGAAGGUGAUAAUCCUGUUCAUGAUAUGGACUACCAGUGCAAUAUGAUACAGUCUCUAAGAGUCGAGUUGUUUGGGAAUGCAGCUCAAAGUGGGUGGUAAAUUCCAUCUAAGGCUAAAUAUUGAUGAGAGACCGAUAGCAAACAAGUACCGUGAGGGAAAGAUGAAAAGAACUUUGGAAAGAGAGUUAACAGUACGUGAAAUUGUUAAAAGGGAAACAAUUGAAGUUAGACUUGUUAUUAAUAGUUCAACCUUUUUUUUUAAAAAGGAGUAUUCUAUUGAUUAACAGACCAACAUCAAUUUUUGGGUGUUGGAUAAGGGUUUAAGGAAAUGUAGCAGUUUUUGACUGUGUUAUAUUCCUUUUGAGCUUUGAUACAAUGCUUAAGAUUGAGGAAUG